UACGGAGGGGCUAGCGUUGUUCGGAAUUACUGGGCGUAAAGCGCGUGUAGGCGGCCCUGCAAGUCGGGUGUGAAAUCCCAACGGCUCAACCGUGGAAGUGCACUCGAAACUGCAGGGCUAGAGUCCUGGAGAGGAAGGUGGAAUGCUUGGUGUAGAGGUGAAAUUCGUAGAUAUCAAGCGGAACACCGGUGGCGAAGGCGGCCUUCUGGACAGUGACUGACG
rnacentral:rRNA from 1 species